CCUACGGGGGGCUGCAGUGAGGAAUAUUGGUCAAUGGACGCAAGUCUGAACCAGCCAUGCCGCGUGCAGGAAGACGGCUCUAUGAGUUAUCAACUGCUUUUGUACGAGGGUAAACGCAGGUACGCGUAUCUGUCUGAAAGUAUCGUACGAAUAAAGAUCGGCUAACUCCGUGCCAGCAGCCGCGGUAAUACGGAGGGUUCAAGCGUUAUCCGGAUUUAUUGGGUUUAAAGGGUGCGUAGGCGGUCGGAUAAGUUAGAGGUGAAAUCCCGAGGCUUAACUUUGGAAUUGCCUCUGAUACUGUUCGGCUAGAGAGUAGUUGCGGUAGGCGGAAUGUAUGGUGUAGCGGUGAAAUGCUUAGAGAUCAUACAGAACACCGAUGGCGAAGGCAGCUUACUAAGCUACUUCUGACGUUGAGGCACGAAAGCGUGGGGAGCAAACAGGAUUAGAUACCCGGGUAGUC
rnacentral:rRNA from 1 species